GAUGAACGCUGGCGGCGUGCCUAAUACAUGCAAGUAGAACGCUGAAGGAGGAGCUUGCUCUUCUGGAUGAGUUGCGAACGGGUGAGUAACGCGUAGGUAGCCUGCCUGGUAGCGGGGGAUAACUAUUGGAAACGAUAGCUAAUACCGCAUGACAACAGUUAUUGCAUGAUAACUGUUUAAAAGGGGCAACUGCUCCACUACCAGAUGGACCUGCGUUGUAUUAGCUAGUUGGUGAGGUAACGGCUCACCAAGGCGACGAUACAUAGCCGACCUGAGAGGGUGAUCGGCCACACUGGGACUGAGACACGGCCCAGACUCCUACGGGAGGCAGCAGUAGGGAAUCUUCGGCAAUGGACGGAAGUCUGACCGAGCAACGCCGCGUGAGUGUAGAAGGUUUUCGGAUCGUAAAGCUCUGUUGUAAGAGAAGAACGAGUGUGAGAGUGGAAAGUUCACACUGUGACGGUAUCUUACCAGAAAGGGACGGCUAACUACGUG
rnacentral:rRNA from 1 species